CAUCAUGGCUCAGAUUGAACGCUGGCGGCAGGCUUAACACAUGCAAGUCGAACGGUAACAUAAAGAAGCUUGCUCCUUUGAUGACGAGUGGCGGACGGGUGAGUAAUGCUUGGGAAUCUAGCUUAUGGAGGGGGAUAACUACGGGAAACUGUAGCUAAUACCGCGUAGAAUCGGGAGAUGAAAGUGUGGGACCUUCGGGCCACAUGCCAUAGGAUGAGCCCAAGUGGGAUUAGGUAGUUGGUG
rnacentral:rRNA from 1 species